rnacentral:lncRNA from 1 species
UGUCACAGGAGUCCAUCAGCACUGGAGUUUACCAAAUGGCCCAGUCCAGGAAGCAUGCUCAUGGCAAUACCCGGAGUCUCCACUGCAAGACCAGAGUGACGGAGGCAGCAGAGCUCCUCAGCAGGCCAGGAGUCUCCAGAGGCACUGCCGAAUGUCUAAGAAGCAACCUCAUUGUAUUCCCAAGACCUGGGAAUCCAGGUCUCGCAGAUACGAUGAUACAAUCUAUAGCCAGGACAUCUCUUCAUGUGUAGUUUUCAAUGAAUACUAGGAUAAGCAACUAUCCCAGUCUUCCCAGGAUUGAGGGGCUUCUCCAGAUGCUGCACUUCUGGUGCUAAAAAUGAGAAACUGAAAUGAAUUAGU